GUUCUAAUCUGAAAAGAAUUACCCUUCCCCGUUAGCUGCCGUGGCGUUUUCGCAAGCUAGAAGUCUACAGUGACCACUCCACGCUCGAUGCUGAAAAACUUCGCUUUGCCGUCACGGAGGGCUGAUGUGGCUGCUGACGAGCAGUCCCAGCUGAUUGUGCGCAUCACCAGAUGUGCCGUUGGAAACGAGAACGAAAAAGGCAUGAAUAUACGCUGGAAUACGCCAACAAGCUACUGCGGCAGAUGACAGCGUGAGACUUUCUUCUUCACUGGGAGACCUUUGUACAGUGGAACGCUUGGCCGCUCCGACUCUGAAGUUUGAACCAUGUACCCUGCGUUGUUGUCGCCCACACUAUGACGGGUCUUUCUUUACACCUGAUCUGUCGAGCUCACACAGAGACAACUGCAAGGCAUUGCUACAUUCCAUCGUACAUCAGGUCGAGAAGAUUCUGUUCAACAAGCUCUAAAAUGCGUUCGAAGAACUUGGCGCGGCACUUUGGAUCGUACAUAAGCCCGUGGCUGCCGUCGAGCACGCCGAUGCGGUUGCCGUCGUCCUGUUGCAAACCAGAACCGGGGGCGAUGCCUG
rnacentral:lncRNA from 1 species